rnacentral:rRNA from 1 species
UGGGGAAUAUUGCACAAUAGGCGAAAGCCUGAUGCAGCAACGCCGCGUGAGUGAUGAAGAUCUUCGGAUUGUAAAGCUCUGUCUUUUGGGACGAUAAUGACGGUACCAAAGGAGGAAGCCAACGGCUAACUACGUGCCAGCAGCCGCGGUAAUACGUAGGGUGGCGAGCGUUGUCCGGAUUUACUGGGCGUAAAGGGUGCGUAGGCGGAUGUUUAAGUGAGAUGUGAAAUACCCAGGCUUAACUUGGGUGCUGCAUUUCAAA